UAGCCACGGUAACACCAGCCCCUCGAGUGGUGGAGACGAUUAUUGGGCCUAAAGCGUCCGUAGCCGGCCCGGUAAGUCCCCUGUUAAAUCCGAUGUUCCAAGCGUCGGACUGCGGGGGAUACUGUCGGGCUAGAGGGUGGGAGAGGCCAGCGGUAUUCCCGGGGUAGGGGCGAAAAUCCGUUGAUCCCGGGGAGGACCACCAGUGGCGAAGGC
rnacentral:rRNA from 1 species